CGCCUCUCUCACUCCCCCGGCACCAGAUGUCACAUGGGCUCACCCCCUCCAAGGAAAUCGUCUGCGUUCAAGUCCUUGCCUCAAGGUCUGUAUCUCGGAGCCUUCCCCAUCUGCCGCCUGCAUAAAACUAGCACCUGGGCAGUGAGAGGAUGCGUGCUGGAAAGGAAGGCCCGAGAAGCUGGGGAUUCCCUUCCCGCCACGUCCCAGGCACCUGCAGGCGUGUACAGUUGGAGAAGGGCCAGCGCUAACGCGCCUCCGUCGGCGGCCUGUGAGUGAAACCAUGUUCUGGGGUCGGCAUUGUGUUUGCCAUACAUCAUCUCAUUUCGUCAUUUCAUCCCCAAACCUGCGGAGGGCACAGAAGGAAACUAAGACGGAGAUAAGGAAACUGAGGCUGGUUUUGUCCUGUGCUCUGCCCAAGGUCAUCCAGCAGGUAAAGGGGGGUCAGGGCUGGGUUGGACACUCUCCAGCCACUGCUUGCAAGCCCAGGC
rnacentral:lncRNA from 12 species